UGGGGAAUAUUGGACAAUGGGGGCAACCCUGACCCAGCAAUGCCGCGUGUGUGAAGAAGGUCUUCGGAUUGUAAAGCACUUUCGACGGGGACGAUGAUGACGGUACCCGUAGAAGAAGCCCCGGCUAACUUCGUGCCAGCAGCCGCGGUAAUACGAAGGGGGCUAGCGUUGCUCGGAAUGACUGGGCGUAAAGGGCGUGUAGGCGGUUUACACAGUCAGAUGUGAAAUCCCCGGGCUUAACCUGGGAGCUGCAUUUGAUACGUGUAGACUAGAGUGUGAGAGAGGGUUGUGGAAUUCCCAGUGUAGAGGUGAAAUUCGUAGAUAUUGGGAAGAACACCGGUGGCGAAGGCGGCAACCUGGCUCAUGACUGACGCUGAGGCGCGAAAGCGUGGGGAGCAAACAGGAUUAGAUACCCUGGUAGUCCACGCUGUAAACGAUGUGUGCUAGAUGUUGGGUAACUUUGUUAUUCAGUGUCGCAGUUAACGCGU
rnacentral:rRNA from 1 species